rnacentral:rRNA from 1 species
UACGUAGGGACCGAGCGUUGUCCGGAUUCAUUGGGCGUAAAGAGCUCGUAGGCGGCUGUUCAAGUCGAACGUGAAAACUCGGAGCUCAACUCCGAGCCUGCGUUCGAUACUGGACGGCUAGAGUCUGGUAGGGGGAUCUGGAAUUCCUGGUGUAGCGGUGGAAUGCGCAGAUAUCAGGAGGAACACCGGUGGCGAAGGCGGCAUCCUGGACCGACACUGACGCUGAGGAGCGAAAGCCAGGGGAGCAAACGGG